rnacentral:rRNA from 1 species
AGGGAAUCUUCCACAAUGGACGCAAGUCUGAUGGAGCAACGCCGCGUGAGUGAAGAAGGUUUUCGGACCGUAAAGCUCUGUUGUUGGUGAAGAAGGAUAGAGGUAGUAACUGGCCUUUAUUUGACGGUAAUCAACCAGAAAGUCACGGCUAACUACGUGCCAGCAGCCGCGGUAAUACGUAGGUGGCAAGCGUUGUCCGGAUUUAUUGGGCGCAAAGCGAGCGCAGGCGGAAGAAUAAGUCUGAUGUGAAAGCCCUCGGCUUAACCGAGGAAUUGCAUCGGAAACUGUUUUCUUGAGUGCAGAAGAGGAGAGUAGAACUCCAUGUGUAGCGGUGGAAUGCGUAGAUAUAUGGAAGAAUACCAGUGGCGAAGGCGGCUCUCUGGUCUGCAACUGACGCUGAGGCUCGAAAGCAUGGGUAGCGAACAGGAUUAGAUACCCUGGUAGUCCAUGCCGUAAACGAUGAGUGCUAAGUGUUGGGAGGCUUCCGCCUCUCAGUGCUGCAGCUAACGCAUUAAGCACUCCGCCUGGGGGAGUACGACCGCAAGGUUGAAAC